ACCUGGCUGGCUCAGUCGGUGGAGCAUGUGACUCUUGAUCUCAGGGUUGUGAGAUUGAGCCCCACAUUGGGUA
rnacentral:tRNA from 1 species